rnacentral:rRNA from 1 species
UGGGGAAUCUUGGACAAUGGGCGCAAGCCUGACCCAGCAAUACCGCGUGUGUGAAGAAGGCCUGAGGGUUGUAAAGCACUUUCAAUGGGGAGGAAAAAGGCAAGUUUAAUACGCUUGCCCUUGACAUUACCCAUACAAGAAGCACCGGCUAACUCCGUGCCAGCAGCCGCGGUAAUACGGAGGGCGCGAGCGUUAAUCGGAAUUACUGGGCGUAAAGCGUGCGUAGGCGGCCUGCCAAGUCAGAUGUGAAAGCCCUGGGCUCAACCUGGGAACGGCAUUUGAAACUGGCAGGCUCGAGUUGGGUAGAGGCAGGCGGAAUUCCGGGUGUAGCGGUGAAAUGCGUAGAUAUCCGGAGGAACACCAGUGGCGAAGGCGGCCUGCUGGGCCCAAACUGACGCUGAGGCACGAAAGCGUGGGUAGCAAACAGGAUUAGAUACCCAUGUAGUCCCUGAGCGGGCUGGCAAGGCGCAU